AUCCCAUCAGACUGAGCCUUGUAGUGAAUGCGAGUCACGUAGUUCAUCUCUUCCAGAGGAACCUGGCAUCAAAAAAAGUUAAAUAUGGGAAAAGAGCUGGUUGAGUAAUUAAAAUGCAAAGAUUCCUUCAGGCAUGGCCACCGAAUCUUCUAAAAUGUGUGAAAACCCCUUGGCUUCUGAGAAAACAGGAGGCAAAAAAGGGACUUCAAUGAAUUAACAUCUUUGUCUGGAGGAACAAUGAUUCAUCCAAAUUAACUUCACAGCCAUUUUGUUUUGACUGUGAAAGCCAUUUUGUGCAGAACUCGCAGGAAAAACUCAAGAGACAAUAUGAGAGGGUACAUGUCCAAGGGAGAACAAAGAGAAAUGUAUCCAGAAAUAAACUCUGGCUCUGCUGAGAAGAAUCUAAACAAUCUUCCUGUGCUGUAACCACAGAACUGGUGAGGAAGAAACUUCUCUCCCCCAAAACCUGCUGAGUCCACCUGAAGAGACAAAUACUGACUAAUGCACUACAAAAGCCAUCACAGCUGCUGAACAAAACGCUUCACUCCAGACAACCAACACUUCAACUGCAAGCUACAGGCCUGCAACAAUAUCUUAAAAGGACUGUGCUGAAUUUCAUCUUUAAGAGUAUUUUUUAACCUUCGUUGCAUUUAAUCUUUGCAUGUAUUCAAUUAAUAAAUUGUUUUUACUUAA